rnacentral:rRNA from 1 species
GGACGAACGCUGGCGGCGUGGAUUAGGCAUGCAAGUCGAACGGUAUAAACCUUUCGGGGUUUAGAGAGUGGCGAACGGGUGAGUAACACGUAGGUAAUCUACCCUCAAAACGGGGACAACCCAGGGAAACUUGGGCUAAUACCGGAUGCGUGCAAACAAUGUUUUGGUUGUUGUAAUUAUUCACGGAAGUGAAUAGUUAUGAGAGUUCAGAGCAUAAUUUGCAUAAAAGGUGGCGUAAGCUGCCGUUUGAGGAUGAGCCUGCGUCCUAUUAGUUAGUUGGUGAGGUAAUGGCUUACCAAGGCGAUGAUAGGUAGGCGGCCUUAACGGGUGGUCGCCCACACUGGGAUUGAGAUACGGCCCAGACUCCUACGGGAGGCAGCAGUCGAGAGUAGUCUACAAUGGACGAAAGUCUGAUAGUGCGACGCCGCGUGAACGAAGAAUCCUUUCGGGGUGUAAAGUUCUUUUCUAUGUGAGCAGUUCCUUUUAUAUGAAGAGUAUAGGAGGCGGGAUUUAAGCAUAGGAAUAAGCAACGGCUAACUCCGUGCCAGCAGCCGCGGUAACACGGGGGUUGCAAGCGUUGUCCGGAAUUACUAGGCGUAAAGUGCAGGUAGGCGGAUAGAUAAGUUUAAGGUUAAAGGCUACGGCUUANNCGUAGUAAGGCGUUAGAUACUGUUUAUCUGGAAUGCGGUUGAGGGAGACAGAAUUCCUGGUGUAGCGGUGGAAUGCGCAGAGAUCAGGAGGAAUACCGAAGGCGAAGGCAGUCUUCUAAGCCGAAAUUGACGCUAAACUGCGAAGGUGUGGGGAUCAAACAGGAUUAGAUACCCUGGUAGUCCACACAGUAAACGAUAAUCACUAGGUGUUGGGUUCGUAUAGGACUCGGUGCCGGAGCUAACGCGAUAAGUGAUUCGCCUGGGGAGUACGAUCGCAAGGUUGAAACUCAAAGGAAUUGACGGGUCCCCGCACAAGCAGCGGAGCGUGUGGUUUAAUUCGAUGCUCCGCGAAAAACCUUACCUGGGUUUGACAUAACAGUGGUAGAGAAGUGAAAACGGACCGACCCCUCGGGGAGCUGUUACAGGUGUUGCAUGGCUGUCGUCAGCUCGUGUCGUGAGAUGUUCGGUUAAGUCCGCUAACGAGCGCAACCCGCGCUGUGUGUUACAAGUGUCACACAGUACCGCCGGUAUUAAGUCGGAGGAAGGUGCGGAUGACGUCAAGUCAGCAUGACCUUUAUAUCCAGGGCUACACACACGCUACAAUGGUCAGAACAAUAGGUUGCCAAGCCGCAAGGCGGAGCCAAUCCUCCAAAUCUGGCCUCAGUUCAGAUUGCAGGCUGCAACUCGCCUGCAUGAAGUCGGAGUUGCUAGUAACCGCAGGUCAGCAUACUGCGGUGAAUACGUUCCCGGGGAU